rnacentral:rRNA from 1 species
CUACGGGGGGCAGCAGUGAGGAAUAUUGGGCAAUGGGCGCAAGCCUGACCCAGCAACGCCGCGUGGAGGAUGAAUGUCGUAAGAUUGUAAACUCCUUUUUGAGGGGACGAAAAAACGGGUUUAUAGCCCGAAUUGACGGUACCCUUAGAAUAAGCCCCGGCUAACUACGUGCCAGCAGCCGCGGUAAUACGUAGGGGGCAAGCGUUGUCCGGAUUUACUGGGUGUAAAGGGCGCGUAGGCGGGCUUGUAAGUCAGGGGUGAAAGCCUACAGCUUAACUGUAGAAUUGCCUUUGAUACUGCAAGUCUUGAGUGCGGAAGAGAGAGGCGGAAUUCCAGGUGUAGUGGUGAAAUAUGUAGAUAUCUGGAAGAACACCAGAGGCGAAGGCGGUCUCUUGGUCCGUUACUGACGCUGAGGCGCGAAAGCGUGGGGAGCAAACAGGAUUAGAUACCCGCGUAGUC